rnacentral:rRNA from 1 species
GACCCGUCUUGAAACACGGACCAAGGAGUCUAUCUAGUAUGCAAGUAAAUGGGCCUUAUUAAAAACCUAUUUGCGUAAAUAACUUGACUGUUGUAUACAAUGGGAUUACGAGUGAAAUUUAAUGUUUGCUCCUCCAUCCCGGGGUAUUUUCACAACAUGUAUGGGCAACUAUACAUAGAAAAUAUAUCAUGAGCAUAUUGGAUACGACCCGAAAGAUGGUGAACUAUGCCUGAUCAGGUUGAAGUCAGGGGAAACCCUGAUGGAAGACCGUAGCAAUUCUGACGUGCAAAUCGAUUGUCAGAGUUGGGUAUAGGGGCGAAAGACCAAUCGAACCAUCUAGUAGCUGGUUCCUUCCGAAGUUUCCCUCAGGAUAGCUGGAGCAUAGAGAGUUUGUAUUGCUAACUCAUACCUGGUAAAGCGAAUGAUUAGAGGCCUUAGGAACGAAAUGUUCUUAACCUAUUCUCAAACUUUAAAUGGGUAUGUAAGUCAACAUACUUGAAUGAUGUUGACCUUCAGGCACGCGAGUGUCAUGUAAGAUUGUAUGCGCCCAGUGGGCCAAGUUUUGGUAAGCAGAACUGGUGCUGCGGGAUGAACCGAACGCAUUGUUAAGGCGCCAAAAUAAACGACGCAUCAUCGAUACCAUGAAAGGUGUUGAUUGCUGAAGACAGCAGGACGGUGGACAUGGAAGUUGUCAUCCGCUAAGGAGUGUGU